GCCAGCAUGGUGUAACGGUUUGAACGUUGGACUAUGACUCUGGAGACCUGGGUUCGAAUCCCUGCUGGGC